UACGGAGGGUCCAAGCGUUAUCCGGAUUCAUUGGGUUUAAAGGGUCCGUAGGCGGGAAAAUAAGUCAGUGGUGAAAGCCUACAGCUUAACUGUAGAACUGCCAUUGAAACUGUUUUUCUUGAAUUUAGAUGAAGUGGGCGGAAUAUAUCAUGUAGCGGUGAAAUGCAUAGAUAUGAUAUAGAACACCGAUUGCGAAGGCAGCUCACUAAACUAACAUUGACGCUGAGGGACGAAAGCGU
rnacentral:rRNA from 1 species